GAGGGAGCAUGUCAAGGGAAAGGCAAAAGUGAAAAAAAAGGUGGAAAGGCAAAGGAUCGUGGGUGGCAGGUGGGAUGUGGGGUUACUGGAGUCGGAGCUAGAGAAGACAGUGUGAAAAGGGGGUGCCUGAGCCUGAGACAGUGCCGGUGGGAGGCUGGGCUACAGUUACUAGCAGUCGGAGGGCUAAGGGCCAUGGUUCCAGGACUGGGCAUCACCUGGGCCUGGUCAGACAUGCGGGUCUCUGGCCCCACCCGAGACCUGCUGGUCAGAAUCUCUGGGGGUGGAGCCAGCAAUCUGUGUUCUCAUCAGCCCGACCCCCAGCUUUCUGAUGAGCACGCAGGUCUGAGAACCACAGCUCUAGGGUAAAAUGGCCUGUGGAGGAGGACAGUGUCCCAGGACCAGAAGAGCUGGAGAAACUGAGAAGUCAGCAAGGCCAGAGCACCGUUUGAGGGGGAUGAAAUUGCUGGAAAUGAAGACGGGGUACGGCAGAAUAAAGUGCCCAGACUCAAGACCUACAGUUGCGGAGAAAUGAGGACAGUGCCUGGGUGGAGAAGAGUCUAGAAGUGGCAAAAAAAAAAAGUAAAGAAGCCCCCUAACCUGGAGCCCAGUGAUACAAGGGUGGAGGGAGACAGGCAGCCCCUCUGAGGGGCAUCGAGGGCCAGACCACGGCUGCCCACAGAGGUCCACUGACGCCAUGGCGCUUGUGCACGUUACCCUACACGGCAGUGGGGGGACUUGCAGGUGUGAUCGCUAAUCUCUGGGUGGAAUGACUAACGUGGGUUGUCCAGGUGGGCCCAAUGUAGCCACAAGCGUCCUUUAAAAGGGUGGCCGGAGACGCAGCCCCAGGGAGAGCGCGGCUCUAAGAGGGCGGCUGGCCCACAGGCCUGGAAGCCGGCCCUCCCCACAAGACCGCAGGAGGGACACGGCCCCGCGGGCACCUCGAGUUGAGCUCAGUGACACCAUUUUGGACCUCUGACCUCCAGAGCCGUAAGCGGGCGGUCUUGAUCAGAAUGUAUCUGGGGUCAGCAGGCACUUAAGGCUUGGAUGGGACACCGUCAAAGUCAACGGAGAUGCUCUUUGGGAUUCAGAGCAAGACCCGGGAUGCAGAGAGAGAGGAGGCGAGCUCGGGAAUGAAGGACAUCCAGAAAACACCCACUCGGUGACCAAAACACAGCUUGACCCACAAAACCUCCAGCUCUCAAGAGAGGCCUUUAAAAGGAGAGUGGGCGGAGCCACCACCAGGACCAGGCCUCAGUGCAAACAAAACCUCCACC